rnacentral:rRNA from 1 species
CCUACGGGUGGCAGCAGUGAGGAAUAUUGGUCAAUGGACGAGAGUCUGAACCAGCCAAGUAGCGUGAAGGAUGACUGCCCUAUGGGUUGUAAACUUCUUUUAUAUGGGAAUAAAACGUUCCACGUGUGGGAUUUUGUAUGUCCCAUAUGAAUAAGGAUAGGCUAACUCCGUGCCAGCAGCCGCGGUAAUACGGAGGAUCCGAGCGUUAUCCGGAUUUAUUGGGUUUAAAGGGAGCGUAGGUGGAUUGUUAAGUCAGUUGUGAAAGUUUGCGGCUCAACCGUAAAAUUGCAGUUGAAACUGGCAGUCUUGAGUACAGUAGAGGUGGGCGGAAUUCGUGGUGUAGCGGUGAAAUGCUUAGAUAUCACGAAGAACUCCGAUUGCGAAGGCAGUUCACUGGACUGCAACUGACACUGAGGCUCGAAAGUGUGGGUAUCAAACAGGAUUAGAUACCCCUGUAGUC